rnacentral:rRNA from 1 species
GUAAAGCUCUUUCAGCCGGAAAGAAAACGCACGGGUUAAUACCUUGUGUGGAUGACGGUACCGGAAGAAGAAGCACCGGCUAACUACGUGCCAGCAGCCGCGGUAAUACGUAGGGUGCGAGCGUUAAUCGGAAUUACUGGGCGUAAAGCGUGCGCAGGCGGUUUUGUAAGACAGAUGUGAAAUCCCCGGGCUUAACCUGGGAACUGCAUUUGUGACUGCAAGACUAGAGUACGGCAGAGGGGGGUAGAAUUCCACGUGUAGCAGUGAAAUGCGUAGAUAUGUGGAGGAAUACCGAUGGCGAAGGCAGCCCCCUGGGUCGAUACUGACGCUCAUGCACGAAAGCGUGGGGAGCAAACAGGAUUAGAUACCCUGGUAGUCCACGCCCUAAACGAUGUCAACUAG